UUUAACGCCCUCUGGUGUCUGUUGACAGAAAUUGGGUCAGUUUGCCUUCUUGAAAAGACAAAGCAACAUUUGUUUCCAGAAAUAACUGUGGCUAUAACUGAAAGUCUAGUGAAUGACUUGAUUGUAUUGUGAGUGUCAGGAUAUAGUCCUGUCCUCCGAGGAAGGGAAAUAAACUUUCAGAGCAAAACCUCCUCCAGAGCAUUCAGUCCAAAUCCAGUUAGGGAAGCACUUUUUAAUCCAGAUUAUUUCUCAUUCUAGACCAGACCAGGGGAAAUCCUAGGGGAUGAAAGUACUAAUCUGGCUUAGGAAAAAUUUAGUAAAAGAAUUUUCUAUUGUUUCAGGGGAGGAAAAGUUCCAAAUGAGACAAAUUCUUGGAAAGAACACUGAUAUUUUCACCAGGUCUCCGUUCCAGUCUAUACAAAGAUCAUUGACAGACAUUCAAGAUCUAGUAUCUCCUAUGAACCCGAUGGCUCUUUUAAGGAAACCUCAUGCAAAACACCCAAAGUACGCUACGCACCUACUAGUGUCAGAACUCCACUUGGCCUAGGUAAUCAUGCAUAGGGAAGAGAAGUAUUUUGGGUGAGGAACUCACAGUUCCUCUGUGAGGCUGGCUCUCAGAAGCCAGGCCAGAGAUACAUCUGCUGAGUUUUCUACCAGAGCAAAGGGGUUUCCUUAGGACCAAAGUUCAAA
rnacentral:lncRNA from 1 species